UUGCACGCUGGCGGCAGGCCUCACCCCUGCCAGUCGAGCGGAUGAAGGGAGCUUGCUCCUGGAUUCAGCGGCGGACGGGUGAGUAAUGCCUAGGAAUCUGCCUGGUAGUGGGGGAUAACGUCCGGAAACGGGCGCUAAUACCGCAUACGUCCUGAGGGAGAAAGUGGGGGAUCUUCGGACCUCACGCUAUCAGAUGAGCCUAGGUCGGAUUAGCUAGUUGGUGGGGUAAAGGCCUACCAAGGCGACGAUCCGUAACUGGUCUGAGAGGAUGAUCAGUCACACUGGAACUGAGACACGGUCCAGACUCCUACGGGAGGCAGCAGUGGGGAAUAUUGGACAAUGGGCGAAAGCCUGAUCCAGCCAUGCCGCGUGUGUGGAGAAGGUCUUCGGAUUGUAAAGCACUUUAAGUUGGGAGGAAGGGCAGUAAGUUAAUACCUUGCUGUUUUGACGUUACCAACAGAAUAAGCACCGGCUAACUUCGUG
rnacentral:rRNA from 1 species